GGUAAUCACUCUUGGGAUUUUUUAGGGUUUCUUCUCAGAUUUUCGCCUCCAGCUCUCUGUUGUUCUCUAGGGUUUUUUCGUCCCUUACUGAUUUCUCCCUUUUUAUAAUCCCAUUGCUAGGGUUUGGAUGAGAUCAAAAGAGUAUGGAAUUGGAAGUGCUUUCUUUUUUGUGCUGCUCUGUUGUCUAUCCCAUUUUGGUGUUUGCUCUGAAAAAGUGAAUUUUCUUGCAACUUUGAGGCUUCUGUUAACAACACUCAACCUUGCAAGAGUAGCUUGUUUCUCCAUGUGAAAACUUCACUGUUGGACAUGGUUGUUGGUGAU